UACGAAGGGGGCUAGCGUUGUUCGGAAUUACUGGGCGUAAAGCGUGCGCAGGCGGUUUUGCAAGUCUGUUGUGAAAUCCCCGGGCUCAACCUGGGAAUGGCAAUGGAGACUGCAAGGCUAGAGUUUGGCAGAGGGGGGUAGAAUUCCACGUGUAGCAGUGAAAUGCGUAGAUAUGUGGAGGAACACCGAUGGCGAAGGCAGCCCCCUGGGUCAAAACUGACGCUCAUGCACGAAAGCGUGGGGAGCAAACAGG
rnacentral:rRNA from 1 species